rnacentral:rRNA from 1 species
GCUGAUUUCUGUGCAUCGGCGAGGGUAAUACGGAGUGGGCGAUGUGUAAUCCGAAAUACUGGGCGUAAGUGGCGCGUAGGCGUCUAUUUGAGUCUGAUGGUGAAGUCCCGAGCUCAACCUUGGAAUUGCAUCGAGUACUGUGGAUGUGGAAUGCGGUAGAGGGGAGUGGAAUUCCAGGUGUAGCGGUGAAAUGCGUAGAUAUCUGAAUGAACACCAGUGGCGAAGGCGGCCCCCUGGACUGACAUUGACGCUGAGGUGCGAAAGCGUGGGGAUCAAACAGGAUUAGAUACCCUAGUAGUC